rnacentral:tRNA from 1 species
GCCUGAAUGGCGGAAUUGGUAGACGCGCUGGUCUCAAAAACCAGUGGGCUUAUGCCCGUGUCGGUUCGAGUCCGACUUCAGGCA